CUCCCGAGUGGCUGGGACUACAGGCGCCCGCCACCACGCCCGGCUAAUUUUUUGUAUUUUUAGUAGAGACAGGGUUUCACCGUGUUGGCCAGGAUGGUCUCGAUCUCCUGACCUUGUGAUCCACCCACCUUGGCCUCUCAAAGUGCUGGGAUUACAGGCCUAAACUACCACACCCAGCCAAAGUUUUAUAUUUUAAAAGGCUAGCUGCUGGUAACACAUGGUUAACAACUAUGAUUUUUCUCAUUUCCUCACCAUUUUAC
rnacentral:lncRNA from 10 species